CAACCUUCAAGCUCUGCUUGGUAUUGGGCCGGCGCCGGUCUCCCGGCGGGCCUCAAAAUCAGUGGCGGCGCCAUCUGGCUUCGAGCGUAGUAACUUCUCUCGCUCCGGAGGCCCAGGUGGCGGCUGGCCAGCCACCCCCAAUCUUCCAGG
rnacentral:misc_RNA from 1 species